rnacentral:rRNA from 1 species
GUCCAGACUCCUACGGGAGGCAGCAGUGGGGAAUAUUGCACAAUGGGGGAAACCCUGAUGCAGCGACGCCGCGUGAGCGAUGAAGUAUUUCGGUAUGUAAAGCUCUAUCAGCAGGGAAGAAGAUGACGGUACCUGACUAAGAAGCCCCGGCUAACUACGUGCCAGCAGCCGCGGUAAUACGUAGGGGGCAAGCGUUAUCCGGAUUUACUGGGUGUAAAGGGAGCGUAGACGGCGAUGCAAGCCAGAUGUGAAAGCCCGGGGCUCAACCCCGGGACUGCAUUUGGAACUGUGUGGCUGGAGUGUCGGAGAGGCAGGCGGAAUUCCUAGUGUAGCGGUGAAAUGCGUAGAUAUUAGGAGGAACACCAGUGGCGAAGGCGGCCUGCUGGACGAUGACUGACGUUGAGGCUCGAAAGCGUGGGGAGCAAACAGGAUUAGAUACCCGCGUAAU